rnacentral:rRNA from 1 species
AGAAUCAACGCUGGCGGCGUGCCUAACACAUGCAAGUCGAACGAGAAAGUGGAGCAAUCCAUGAGUAAAGUGGCGCACGGGUGAGUAACACGUGACUAACCUACCCUUGAGUGGGGAAUAACUUCGGGAAACCGAGGCUAAUACCGCAUAACACCUACGGGUCAAAGGAGCAAUUCGCUUAAGGAGGGGGUCGCGGCAGAUUAGUUAGUUGGUAGGGUAAUGGCCUACCAAGACGGUGAUCUGUAUCCGGCCUGAGAGGGCGCACGGACACACUGGAACUGAAACACGGUCCAGACUCCUACGGGAGGCAGCAGUGGGGAAUUUGCGCAAUGGGGGAAACCCUGACGCAGCAACGCCGCGUGGAGGAUGAAGUCCCUUGGGACGUAAACUCCUUUCGAUCGGGACGAUUAUGACGGUACCGGAAGAAGAAGCCCCGGCUAACUUCGCGCCAGCAGCCGC